rnacentral:tRNA from 1 species
ACUUCUGAGGCACUGGUCAUGUUUUUGGCUGCUAACCAAAAGGAUGGAGGUUCAAGUCUACCCAGAGGUA